rnacentral:rRNA from 1 species
UACGGAGGGUGCGAGCGUUGUCCGGAAUCACUGGGCGUAAAGGGCGCGUAGGUGGCGCGAUGAGUCAACGGUGAAAGCUCGACGCUUAACGUCGAGUCGGCCGUCGAUACUAUCGCGCUCGAGCACUGUAGAGGCUCAUGGAAUUCCGGGUGUAGCGGUGGAAUGCGUAGAGAUCCGGAAGAACACCGGUGGCGAAGGCGGUGAGCUGGGCAGUUGCUGACACUGAGGCGCGACAGCGUGGGGAGCAAACAGG